rnacentral:rRNA from 1 species
GAUGAACGCUGGCGGCGUGCCUAAUACAUGCAAGUCGAGCGAACAGAUAAGGAGCUUGCUCCUUUGACGUUAGCGGCGGACGGGUGAGUUACACGUGGAUAACCUACCUAUAAGACUGGGAUAACUUCGGGAAACCGGAGCUAAUACCGGAUAACAUAUUGAACCGCAUGGUUCAAUAGUGAAAGGCGGCUUUGCUGUCACUUAUAGAUGGAUCCGCGCCGUAUUGGCUAGUUGGUAAGGUAACGGCUUACCAAGGCAACGAUACGUAGCCGACCUGAGAGGGUGAUCGGCCACACUGGAACUGAGACACGGUCCAGACUCCUACGGGAGGCAGCAGUAGGGAAUCUUCCGCAAUGGGCGAAAGCCUGACGGAGCAACGCCGCGUGAGUGAUGAAGGUCUUCGGAUCGUAAAACUCUGUUAUCAGGGAAGAACAAAUGUGUAAGUAACUGUGCACAUCUUGACGGUACCUGAUCAGAAAGCCACGGCUAACUACGUG